rnacentral:rRNA from 1 species
AUUGAACGCUGGCGGAAUGCUUUACACAUGCAAGUCGAACGGUAGAGGGGGCAACCCCUUGAGAGUGGCGAACGGGUGAGUAAUAUAUCGGAACGUGCCCAGUCGUGGGGGAUAACGUAGUGAAAAUUAUGCUAAUACCGCAUACGAUCUAAGGAUGAAAGCGGGGGAUCGCAAGACCUCGCGCGAUUGGAGCGGCCGAUAUCAGAUUAGGUAGUUGGUAGGGUAAAGGCCUACCAAGCCAACGAUCUGUAGCUGGUCUGAGAGGACGACCAGCCACACUGGAACUGAGACACGGUCCAGACUCCUACGGGAGGCAGCAGUGGGGAAUUUUGGACAAUGGGCGAAAGCCUGAUCCAGCCAUUCCGCGUGCAGGAUGAAGGCCCUCGGGUUGUAAACUGCUUUUGUACAGAACGAAAAGGUCUCUAUUAAUACUAGGGGCUCAUGACGGUACUGUAAGAAUAAGCACCGGCUAACUACGUGCCAGCAGCCGCUGUAA